rnacentral:rRNA from 1 species
UACGAAGGGGGCUAGCGUUGCUCGGAAUCACUGGGCGUAAAGCGCGCGUAGGCGGCUUUUCAAGUCGAUUGUGAAAUCCCCGGGCUUAACCUGGGAACUGCAGUCGAGACUGUCUAGCUAGAGUAUGGGAGAGGGAAGUGGAAUUUCAGGUGUAGCGGUGAAAUGCGUAGAUAUCUGAAGGAACAUCAGUGGCGAAAGCGACUUCCUGGACCAAUACUGACGCUCAUGUGCGAAAGCGUGGGGAGCAAACAGG